GACACGUGACAGUUACAGAAAAUUCACAUUUCCGGGUGCGUUUAUGGGACCAAAGUCACACUCCUUGGCUUCCAGACCCCACUGCAAAGGCAGAGUGGAAACACUGUGACAGAGAUCGCGUGUGGCCCGCGAAGUCUUCAGUAUGUGCCGUCCAGGGCAGAUGCUUCUCGUUUUCACUCUCGGUGGAGGAAACAGAGAGGGAGCAGGAUGUGUGCGGCUCAGCCCCGGGGACGGUGACCUCGGGCGCGUAGGUGGAGGCAGUGAGUGGGUGAGGGGGCAGCUGGCUCUCGUCAGCUCCUCCACAAGGUGACUGCUGACCCACGCUCCUCGCAGGAGGUCACGGGCAGGGUCUUCAGAAGGCCCCUAGCCUUGCCGUCCAGCCUGUAACCCCACGGAGAGAGGGAAGGAAGGUUGAAAAGGGCCUCCAGUCCUCACCUCCGGCCCCCUGGGUUCACCACUAGGAGAUGCUCGGACGAUGUCAGCAACGGGAGACCGAUAACCAGAGACGGCCGUCCGGUGUGGGGCACCGGCCAGAGAGGAACCAGCUGGCACCAUGUGACUAAGGCUCCGGAGGGAAAGACACAGCUGAUGUCAGCUUCGCAACCCGGAAAAAUCCAUCAGCUGGCGACCUCGGCGGCCAGAUUCGUACUCUGCUCCGUCGCUGGAACGUUUAGCCAAACUCAGAAUCUCGAGAAGAAAGAAGGAGGCCGAGAAGAGACAGCAGAGGUGUUGUCUGAGCGUCCACUGGGGGCCAGGUGCUGGGAACAGAGCCGAGAACAAGACAGAUAAGUCGCAUGCUCUCGGGGCUCACCUUCAAACAGCGGAGACGGACAGAGGGCACCAAAUGCGGUAAAAAGGGAAAACCCGGAGAUAACCAGGAAGAGAGCCAGAAAACACCACGGCUCCUGUCCCGAGUGUGUUCAGCAGCCUGGGGACCACGGGGGACACAGAAGAGCGACAGGAGUGUCGCAUGGGGCCGAGCUUCAGGUGAUAAAAACGGCUGUCCUGACAGUAACACCAGCCCAGCCUCCGGGCCCAAUUCUGAAAUCUGAAAAGCUCUGAAUCCCAGAGUUGUCUCGUAACCUGCUUGGCACCCGGACCUGACGGGACGUGACAUUGCAGGCGGCAAAAUUCCCCAGGCCGUCAGAUUUUCCUCUCCUCCAGGCGGGUGUGCGCGUGUUUCGUGGACUCGAACGUGGGGUACCAGCCCAGACCCCACGGGGAGGGCUGCCUAAUGGAAGAAAUUUAAAAGAAGACUUUCUAAAAAUCCGGAAGUCUUGUCUUUUGGCGAAAAGGUGUUCUUUGGUUCUGCUGGGGGGGCCCCACUGUUAGUCCAGGGGGUCAGGAGCCCCCAGUGCUGGGUCUGGCCCUGCCUCCCUGUUGACGUGGUCUCAAGAGGCCGGAGGCGGACGUUUCAUGCAGUCGAACGGGAGAAGAAGCGGCUGGCCGUGCUCACCAGGUGAGGCUGCUGGGAGGUAAGGAGGAAGCCAUCCCCACAGAGGGGAUCCCGUGGCAUUUCUGGCUCAGAUAGCACUUGAUCAAGGAGGGGCUCACUAGCCCGUGGGAAGUGGGUCUGGAUGCAAGAGGCCCGGGUCCUAGUCCUGGUCGGCUCUGCCACCAGAGUGCUGUGUGACCCCGAGCAAGUGUCCGCCCCUCUCUGGACCUGUUUUUCUCUUUGUAAAGUGCAGGCCGAGGCCAGGCCCAGCAGGCCUUCCCGCUGGCUUGCACCACCUGGGACACACUGAGCCAGACGCUCGGCUUUUUGUCAGCGCCCCCCUCCCCGGACCCCUGGGUGGCAGGACGGGGCCCCAAGCACCCCCGUGUCUCUGCUCCCCAUUCUGUAAUUGAAGGGGUGGGCAGGCCUCGCCUUUCUCUUUCUCCGUGACAUGUGCCUGCGUUUCGGGGUGGAGCUCAGUGCUUUUCCGGAGUCUCCAUUCCCACGGGGGCGGGAGGCAGCCGGGGCGCACCCCGCGCCGCCCGCGGGCCAUCCGGGCGGCCCAGCCGGGCGCGGGCAGCAGGCAGCAGGCCGCGGGCCCCAGCUCCUCUCUGCUCGCCCGGCCCCGGGUGGGAGGGAUUUCCAUGGGGCUUAUGGUGAUUUAUAAUGGGAAACCUCGGCUCUCCCCCGACAUUGUUCUCGCUGACAGAGGGAAGAAUGAAGGCACUAAAUCUGCUCUCAUCACAGGGAACGAAGAAGCCGCCGCUCGGCCCAGCCCCGGUGCCCUCGACCGCAACAAAGUGCUCUAUUGUCAUCGAUUACAUUUUUUCUCAAAAAACCUUCAGCCGCGCACAAGGCCAGCGCCAUACCCUCCACUGGCUGGUCCUCUUUGUCUGCGCCCGGGGGCAAUGGGAUGUGUCAGUCUGAGUAAUGCCCCUUCAGGACUUCUCAGGAGCCCGCGAUUUCUCAGGCCCCUCGGCCAGGGAUGAAAGCGGGCCCGCGCCCGCCGCGCAGCCACCACGCCACCUGGCCCACGGGGACCCGGCGGACUCAGCCGGCCGGGCUGGUGGCCGUUCCCUCCUCCCCAAGUCGGCCUGGGGGUGGCAGCGGAGCAGGAGGGCGCAG